rnacentral:rRNA from 1 species
UACGAAGGGGCUAGCGUUGCUCGGAAUCACUGGCGUAAAGGGUGCGUAGGCGGGUCUUUAAGUCAGGGUGAAAUCCUGGAGCUCAACUCCAGAACUGCCUUUGAUACUGAGGACCUUGAGUUCGGGAGAGGUGAGUGGAACUGCGAGUGUAGAGGUGAAAUUCGUAGAUAUUCGCAAGAACACCAGUGGCGAAGGCGGCUCACUGGAUCGGUACGUGACGCUGAGGUGGCGAAAGCGUGGGAG